rnacentral:rRNA from 1 species
AUGACUAUUGCUUUGGAAGAAAAUAAUGAUAUGCAUCAAUCUAUAGAUAAUGAUGAUUCCGAUGAUUUGGUUGAAAUAUCCCUUGAUGAACAUGAUGCUUGCUAUUCUUGUGGCCAUGAUGCCAAUAUUUAUGAAGAUAAAUUUGCUAUAGUUCCUUAUGUUAAACAUGAUAUCAUUGCUAUUGCACCCAUACUUGAUAGUUUCUUCGAUGAAAAGCAUGAUUGCAAUGAUGUUAUUAUAAAUUCUCUUAAUGUUAAUUGUGUUAAUGAUAUGCAAAACCCUAAGCUUGGGGAUGCUAGUUUUGUUAUGACUACUAUUUGUUGCAAUGAUCAUGAUUGGGGUGAUUCUUCUUUUGAUCUUGAAAAUUUAUUUAAGCCCCAUGAUGAAUAUGAGAUUGAUAAUAGUGUUUGCAAUAUUAUUGAAAGUGGGUUUGGAAGAGUGUCAAAUUUAGAUCCCACAUAUUUGGAGAAUGUUCAAUCUUAUGAAGUUUUUGAUAAAAGUGGGUUUGGAGAGGUCAUGACUUUAGUUAAUGUUAAGCCCACUAUUUUGGAAGAGUGA